AAUGAGAGAAUACAAUCAUAGAAUCUUAGUCUUUGCAGAAACCUCUGAGAGACUCUAUUCUAUUCAUCCACCCAAAGGAGGAAUUCAUACUCAAAUAUCCCUGACAAAUGACCGGCCAUUUAAAAAAUUGCAAACUCUAGACUUAAAGUAUUCAGCACAUAGGAGAGACUCAAUCUGGUACUUGGUAUAGUCCCUGCUUGCAAGAUAAAUAAAUGAAAGAAUCAAAGAAUACACACGUAAGCAAUAUCAAGUGCUAUCCAAACUUCUGCGUUCAGAGAAACCUUGAAUCAGGGAAUAUCUAUAAAUAGAAACUGGGAGAGUAGUGUUCCACAAAACUCACUUUGAGAAACGCUAGGCUAGAUGAAGUUACAACAGAGAAGUAGUAACUGGUUUUGACUAUUCUUCAAGUCUUCUCUCAAACACUCUGCACCAAAGAAGCCAGCCCACAUUUCUCAUUUGUUUGUGUAUCUGUAAAAUGUUGAACUUCUAUUAAAAC